rnacentral:rRNA from 1 species
GUGAAAUUGUUGAAAGGGAAGCGCUUGCAACCAGACUUGUUUUUAAUGCUUCCCUCAAUCUUUUGAUUGGGCUAUUCCAUUAUAUUCAGGCCAACAGCGGUUCGAGUGGUUGUUUAAAGACUUUAGGAAUGUUUCUGCUUUCGGGUCGACUUAUAGCCUAGGGUGUAAUGUGACCAAUUUGGACUGAGGAACGCGCUUUUUGCGCGGAUGUUGGCGUAAUGGUUGUAGGCGGCCCGUCUUGAAACACG